rnacentral:rRNA from 1 species
UACGUAGGGUGCAAGCGUUUAAUCGGAAUACUGGGCGUAAAGCGUGCGCAGGCGGUUAUGUAAGACAGAUGUGAAAUGCCCGGGCUUAACCUGGGAACUGCAUUUGUGACUGCAUGGCUAGAGUUUGGCAGAGGGGGGUAGAAUUCCACGUGUAGCAGUGAAAUGCGUAGAUAUGUGGAGGAACACCGAUGGCGAAGGCAGCCCCCUGGGUCAAGACUGACGCUCAUGCACGAAAGCGUGGGGAGCAAACAGG